UUUAAUAUUAUUGAGAUAACUAAUAUAGUUAUCAAAUAAUUGUUUCAAUUAUUUAAAAAUUUUAUUUUUUCAACUUAAUAAUAAUAUUGUGGGAUUUAUUUAUCUCCAUUUUUUUAAUUAAAGACUUGAGGUCUCAACUCAUUUUUUACUCCAUUUUGAUGGCAGGUUCAUACAAAGGGGAAGGGAGAACAAGAGAAAUGAGAGGAGUGGGAGGGCCAUUGUUAUGCAUCGGUGAUCUGCUGAGUGAUGUUGGAGAAAGUGAUGCCGCCGUUGAUCACCUUUCAAUCAAAACACCUUCACCGGACUACGAUUCCAGCCUUCAACCUUCUGAUCUAAACAAGCUCUUCCAGGUUCUCGACCAUAUCUGUAAAUGUUUUUUUCUGUUUCUGCAUUUAUUCUGAAUGAUGUUAGGUUAGAUUUUCCCUCUGAUGUGAUUAGGUGUAGCACAUGGCAAAAUCAUCUCACCCAAUUUUCAUUUUUUCCUUCCAUUUGACAUUAUUUUGCACAUCUAUAAGGGCAUUUCCAACAGCCCUUCAUUUGACCCUUUAUACUCCAUAUUUGAAGGGAUGAAUAAUGUUUCUCCCACAUUUAGAGAUAGCACUAAUUUUUUUCCUUUAUUUUACUUUUUUAUUAUUAUAUUAUUAUUUAUAUUAUAUAAUAUUUUUAAUUUAACAUAUUAUAAAUUAUAUAAGAUUUCUAAUUAAGUCUCUAAUAUUCAUAAUUAUUUUCUAAUGUAAUAUCUUUAUUAUAUGAAUUUUAAAUUUUAUAAAAUUAAUUUCAUGUAUAACAUUUUCUUUAAGAUAUAAGUUAGUUCUGUUAUAUAAAUUAUAAUUGUACAAUAUAUAUGACCGUCACGAAAAUUAAAAGUGCAUGUGUAAAAUGAGGAUGAAUGUGAUCUUGAUGAAACAAUUCAAGAAACUUUGGAAGCCCCAACUCCAACGAUACAAAUGAUGAUAGAUGAAAAUUAUCGAUCUGAACAAUUUUUAUCUAGACAUAAAAAAAUUAAGGACAAAAAAAUUUAUUUUGAAUUUCAUAAUGCAUUAAUAGAGCAUUCAUGGAAGCAAUGUUUUAAUCCUGAAAGUUGAAUAUUUAUGUAAAAAUUAAAAUAAAUUUUAGCAUGUUAAAAUAUUUUUAUUAUAUUUAAUCAAUGAUUUCACUUUUAUUUAAAUUAUCCAUUAAUAUGAAUAAUAUAUAAUAUUUUCUUGAAAUUUGAGUUAUUUAAAAAUUUAGGGUAAAAAUAGUUUUAUAUUAUAUGAAGAUCUAGAAAAGAAUAUGAAUUUUAUAGGGUGAUUAUAUAUAUAUAUAUAUAUAUAUAUAUAUAUAUUUAAUAUGUAAGUCAUAAAAUAAAAAUAAUAAUAUAAUAUUAAAAAAAAGAGAAAAAUUCCUUUAUAGAAUGUAAAAUAAAAUUGUGGGUUGAAAGGUAAAAAAAUGAGUGUGAUUUUGAGAUGGUACUAGUCACAUGGGGACUUAAAAAUUAGGCUUAAGUUAUUGACAAUCAUUUUAAGUUGUCCCAAAAAUUCACAUAAAUCCCUCAACUAAGGCCUAUAUCUAUCAGACCCCUAAUUCAUCCGAAUUUUGAUCCAAUCAAUUUUUUUUUGCCUACAUGGCACGUCGCGUGUUAUGUAUUCGCUGAGGGCGCGUGAAACAUGAAAUUAAGUCCAUGUGGCAAAAAUUAACGUUAUUUAACAUUAACUUUGCUCUCCCCUUCAUCGCCAAAAUGUAAUUUCCUCAUUUUCUUACAUUUCUCUCCUCCAUAGCUCAAUUUCUCUCACAAAUUUUCUAAUUUCUCUCAUCUCACUCUCAAAUUAUCUCAUAAUUUCUCUCAUCUUUCUCUUAAAUUAUUUUUUUCCUCAUUUUAGAUGAGAAUGUCACAAAAUUUAGUUAAUGUUAAGUUAUUCAAUUUGUGUUAUUGUUCUGAAAUUUGUCCUUUAAGAACUUCAAGGACUCCAUUAAAUUCAGGUCGAAGAUUUUUUGGAUGUAAAGUUCCAAAGGUUUGUAACAUUUUCACAAAUUUAAAUUUUAUUUUUUUGGUGAAUUUUUGAUAAUUUUACUGUUUUUGCAUUUUAGAAAAAUGAUGGAUAUGGCUACUUUAGAUGGAUUGAUCCAAAACCUUCAAUUUUUGUGCAUCAAUCUCAUGAGGUGGAAUCGACCUUAAUGAUUAGGAGUAAAGAUGAUGAAAAUUCGUGCGCUCGACUGAAGGAAAAGCUCAAAGAGGUUGAAAAAGAAAAGAACACUUUGUGUGAGAAAUUGAAAGAUAGUGAAGAGAAGUUGAUUGCAUUGAGGAAAAAACUCAAAAAAGUUAAACUUAAACAGGAAUUUGCAAAGCUUAAAUUGAAUAGACUUGUUCUGCUUCUUCUCUUUGUUCUUACUGUAAAGUGAUUCUUUAAUAUGGUGUAAGGUAGUAGUUAAGUUUGCCUAUUGAAUAGGCAAUUGGGUAUUGUAAUGGUUAGUUUGUAAUGAAGUUGUUUGAGCAGUCUAUUUGUAUCCUUUUGACAUUUUUAAUGUGAAUGAAUUAACAUAUUUUGUAUGACAAUCACAUUGUUAAUUACUUUGUGUCUAGUUGUGCAACAAGAUAUUUCCACUCAACUAAGCAUAACCAUAUAGCUUAUUUGUAACUACUAAAAGUAUUGCUAAAAAAUGAACUAAAAUAUUAGAAGCAAUACAUCAUAUUAAAACUGCUCAAAGUUGAGCUAAAAAGUGCAAGAAGUAGCAUAUCAUAUUAAAACUGCUCAAAGUUGAGCUAAAAAGUGCAUACAUCACUAAAUAAAGUGUUCAAAAAAAGCUAAACAUUGAGCAUAAAAGUACUACUGCAACAUACCACAAAGUCAUUAACUGCUGCCUAAGAAAAAUUUGUUCAAAAACUAGUAACACAAUUUCUUCAAAAUGAGAGUAUAACCCUUAUUAUAGUAUUAUGCGUAAAAAUCAUUUCUAAAUGAACCAUUUCUUAGAAGAUCCAACUGAUGAAGAAGACUUGGUUACAUCCACUUUGUUUUUCUUAUUUUCUUUCAUUUGUUGCGAUUGUGUGUUGGUGACUAUAUUUUUUUCUUUCUACUUUAGGCUACGAGGUUUAAAAUCAAUAUCUAUAUUGAUUAGUGAAUCACUCCUUAAAUUUGUACCUUCAUAAAACACCCUCUCACUUGAUGUACCAGGAUUCAAAAUUACACAAAAUUAUAAGACAAUGAACAUUAAAAACUUGAAUGAAAACAUAGUUAUAGGUAAAUAAUGAGACAAAGAGAAAUACAUUGUGCACUUGGGUUCCAGUUGUUGAAUUAGAGUAAACUCCAAAAUCAGUUGCCGACCUUUUGCAUCCAGUAGCUCCAAGAAAUGAGGUAGCACUAUAUGGCCUCUUAUUGAUUGGCAAAGGUGGAACUUGACUAUAAGAAGCAUUUUCACUUUCAAACGGGGUCCCUCUUGCAUUGGCUAUUUUUCUUCUCAAUCCUCUACCAAUCCCUACUUGACCUCUACCAGUUCCUCCUUUACCUCCCCUGUCAGCACCACAUUGACCUCUACAAAAACCACAUUGACCUUUAUAAAAACCAUAUUGACCUCUACCAGAACCAUCUUUACCUCUACCAGCAGCACCUUGACCUCUACGAGACACACUUGACACCUUUAUUUGAGGUGCUCUUGGCACAACAGCUGUGUCAGCACAAAUAGAUCCUGUGUAUGAAAGGUGGAGCUUGACUGUGAAUAAAUGCAACACAAUAUCUUCAGCAGUUUUCGCUGAUACUAAUAAGAAGAGUAUUAAGGCAGAAUAUAUAUCACUUACUUUUGCUGUCUGACUUUUCGUGUAGGUAUAUCUUGACAUUGCACUGGCGUUACCACAAAUCGAAUUUGAUUGUGGUGGUGGUGGAUGAUUCCAUGAGGGUGCAGGCUGAGUGCUAGUUUGAGUACUAUUACUGUUCAAUAAAGGUAUUUGUUAAAAUCAUACCUUCUGCAAGGAGAUCAUGGAGAAAUCACUUGUAGUUCCUGCACUUAGGAAACAACAGACUUGUUGUCUAUCAUUUUGUACUUCAGGAAUCUUGCAACAAAGAACUUUUUAGUUCUUGCAUCCUCCAUCUUGUACUUCCGUUCUAGCGCUCCCUAUAACUCUUUCGAUGUCUUUGUUCCACUGUACACAUUGUGAAGGUCAUCUUGGAGACCACUCAAGAUGUAAUUCCUGCAAAGGAAACCUGAGUGUUUCCAAGCCUCCACAAUCAUGAAGCGCUCUUGUUUAGAGGUUCCCUUGGGACCUCCGGAACUUCCUAAACUGUGAACCUUUAAAGACAAAGAGUUGUGAGGUAGAAGAACAUUUUCUGCUGCUAUCUCUUGAAGCCAAUACCCGUAAACUUUUCGGGUUUCUCCGCCGGUACCAUAGCUUGCGGAGAAUUAGUACGACUCAUCGUGGCAAUACUAGUUGCCGCCAUAGUCGUUCCAACAUCAUGCAUAUGACUAUUAUUCAUUAUUUUUCUAUCACAAUAAGACAGAACCUUUAGUAUGUCAAAAUACUAGUAAUAAAGUUGCAGCAACUUUAAACACCUCUUGUUUCUAGUUUAACGAUGAAGUUUUUAUGACUUCCAAUCGUCAACCGAGUGAUCUUUAACUUGUGAUGAAGAUUUUAUGUCUUCAAAUCACUAGUUAAGUUCAAACGGAGUAGAAAGCUAAAAGCUUUAGUCUCCAGAAAUCAAGCAAUACAGAUUCCGAAAAAAAAAACUUUAGUGAAAAGAAAAUUUCACUAAACAAGUAAAAAAAUAUUUUUUCCAAAGUUAUUCCUUAAGAUUGUUGUUUUUCAACAUUUUUGGGUACAAGAAUCUAUAAUUUGACACAAUAACUUCAACACUAGUUCAAGUUUAAAAUAAGAACACUAUGAAGUACAACAACACCCUAAACACAAGAUCAAAGUGAUCUUUCUAAGAAGUGUGUUUUAUUUCUUCAGACAUUAAGAUGAAACAGAAAUGUAAAGCCAAGUCCCCUGACUUCACGAAGUUUCCUUAAGGAAUAAUUCCCCUUACUAUACUCGAGGUUUUGGAAUCUUCAUCCCAGGAUUAAAUGACUUUCAAUCCAACUAUAUUGGUAUAUCAAAUAAUUAGAUUCGUUGAACUCACUCAACGAUUUGAUUGAUCACAAGGAAUGUUUUGAAGACAAGAAGAGUUUGUAUUUCAAAAAAUUUUUCAUACCAAAACCUGUGGAUAAAUGCAGGUUUAUAUAGCCAUCAAGUGUCCCUUCCGAAAGGUGGCAAUGGUUCAUCCGAAAAGGUGUAUCCUUUGGAAGAGUCAUGUCUUUUCAUUCAAAACAUUGUGUCUUUUUCUGAUCAGACACAACUAUCUGAACAGUCACUCCUUUUCCAUAAUAUGUCUUUUCAUAAAAGGUUGUGUCCUUCCAUUUUCCAUUCACACCAAUUGAACCCAACAUCAAUAACAUGAUCUAUGAGUCAAUUUUCAAGAUUACUCCGUGCUACUCAUAAUUCAAGUUUAAGGGCAUGUUUAUGUAUUACUAUGUCAUUGUUAUAUAUGUAAUAGUAUAGGUGUACGCGCUUGGGUUCAAAUGUUACACUAAAUAUGAUAUUUGUUUAAAUAAUAAACAUGAAUACAAUAAUUAAAUUCAAUAUCUUUUGAGUAUGUAAAGAUGGAGAAUUUAUUUAUUAAACCUAACAUUUACCAAAAAUAUUUCUAAAAGUCGAUCGACAUUCAUCUACCACCUAUAAAAUGCAAUAAUAAAUCUAAUCUUUACAUAAAAAAAAUAUUUUCAAAACCAUCCGACACUCAUCUACCACCUGUAAACUAUAACAAAAUAAUACGAUAAUAGCGCUAUCAAAAUAAUACAGCUAAAUCUAACCUUUGCAUAAAAAAAAAUCUCAAACUAGAGAUAUUAAAAUAAUACAAUUAAACCUAACCUUUACCUAAAAAAAUUCCUCAAAGCCGACUAACAUUUAUCUACCGCAUGUAAAUUAAUACAAAAUAAUAUGAUAAAAGAAAUAAUAAAACAAUACAAUUAAACUUAAAGUUUAAGCACAAAAAUUUCUCAAAAGUGAUCGACAUUCAUCUACGAACUAUAAACUACCACAAAAUAAUAAACUAAUACAGAUACUAAGACAAUGCAAUUAAACUUAACCUUUACCUAAAAAAAUUCCUCAAAGUUGACCAACAUUCAUCCACCAUCUGUAAAUUAAAAUAAAAUAAUAAGAUAAUAAAGAUAUCAAAAUAAUACAAUUAAACCUAACCUUUACACAAGAAAUUCUUCAAAGUCAACCGACAUUCAUCUACGACCUGUAAACUAAAAUAAAAUAAUACAAUAGUGAUCAGAAAGCUUCAAUUUUGAUGAAAAUAAUUGUCACGCCCAGAGACUACCCCCUGGAUGUCACACGGUGCUUAGGACCACAAGUGAUCCCAAGCUAACCCUUAUACUGGCAUAACUUGUGAGUGACCGAGUAAAAUACACAAAUCCAAAAUAAAUAUGCGGAAGAUGAAUCUUUUAUGAUCAAUACAAAACUAUAUUAAAAUGAUUACAACUCUGAUUAUACAAAAACAAGACUAAAAUCAAAUACAUCAAUUCUAUUGACUGUCUAUGAAGCUUCUACUAGUAUUAACUACAGAUAGUCGGGAUAUGACCACCAACUAUCCCUAAUCAAUACGACUGAAUAAAAAAUAUAAAAUGCUACUCGAACUAUGACUGACUCAAGCCCUUGGAUCAAAAGGACUCACCAUUUUCUGACUGGAAGCUGUAAACUGUCUGAUUAUGAUAUGCGCGCUACAACUUGUACCUACAUUAUUAAACAAUGUAGCACAUAGACGUAUAAAUGGAUCAGUAAUUUUGGAAUGUAUUGAGCAUGUGGGGGUGAAUGAAUAAGUGAAAACAAUAACUCAAUGUUCAUAUAAACUUGUAAAGAAUGCAUGCUAAGUGUAAAUGACUCACCUUGACUCGAAUAAAACAUGUACUGCAAAAUAAUAAAGCAUGAGUAUGUAAAGCAUAGAUAAUCUUUGUGAGUCAUAACACUUAGUUCUAAAAGUUGUGCUUUUACUCUUUCUAUUAGGAGUUUCUUCUAACCGACAAAAACCACGUGAGCUGUCAUGGAAUCCAACAUCUUACCCACGUUAGGGAGAGCGGUUCUAACUUUGCCAUCGGAAUAAAAUUUCUUAUCUUAAGUGAUCACUGUCUUAUCCCACUAUGGACACUUAAACCUACGGUGGCUCGAAGUUUUAGGGCAUGAGACCUUGAAAUCAAACCCAACUUGGUGCUAAAUACUACUCUCAUUCUUAUCACUUAGACUUUAGAAAAUCCACUUUAAAAUAGCACAAGGGUUAUAAAUGAAAACCGAUUAUGCUUCUCUUUCUUUAAAUCAUUAUCAAGAUGAAUAACUAUGGAUUCCAAUCUUAGCUUAGGAUCAAAAGAUCAAUUAUUUCUUAAAAUUGAAAUACAUGCUCAUCAAAGAAUGCUUAAACAUCAUCUUUCUUGAAUAUAAAGACUUAACCUUAGGGAUUAUAACCCAUGCUUAAAAAUCAUGUCAAAUCACAACAAACUUCAUGCUCAACAUUAAAAUCUUGAAAUACUUUAACAAUUCUAGUCAAAAUAAUGAAAUUCAAUUCUCAAUAUGUGAAUUCAAGUCACACACAUAAACUUGUGAAAGUAAGCACUUAAAUUACUUGUAACUUUAUAAACUUCAAAUAAUGAUGAUUGGGUAUGAACCCUAAAUUGAAAUUCAUGUAAAUUCAACUUUAAAACUAGUUUUGGGCACAAGAAUGAAAGGAGUAUCUUUGUUCAUAACCCUACAUACCUUGCUUAAAAGAAUCCUUGGAGAGAACUUUAAAUUUGAAACUUAACUUCUUGAUUCUUGGGAGAUGACACUUGGAUUUUUGUUCUUGAGAAUGGAGGAGGGUUCUUGAGAGAAAUUUGGAGUGAAAGGGGAAAAUAAUGCCCUUUUAGGAGUUUCAAUUCUUGUUUUGGACGACUUUGGUUGGGGAAAAAGGACUCAACUGCCCUUGGCCUCUUUUUUAUGUGUAAAUGACCCUCAUGGCGCGACCUCUAGAAACAUGGAGUACAUCUCACAAAGUGACCCCCAAAAAGGUGGAGUGGACCUCGCAACGCGAGGCUAUCAUGAUAGCUUACUACCUCUAACGAAAAAGGUCAUAACCUUUCACUCGGUUAUCGAAUUAAGGCAAAAUUGGUAUCGUUGGAAAGCUGACUCAGUUAUCUGCAAUUUUGUGGUUCUUAAGAUGUAAAAUUCUACGUAUAUAAAUAGUUAUACACGUUCAAAUUAGACACUUAUAGAAUCAAAUACCCAACUUUGGACGAAUCAAAGGCUCUUAGCUCCACUUCGCUCUAAUUGAUUUCUAUGAACAUUUUUCACCUUGAAAGCACUCCAUACACUAGGAUAAUUAUCGUGAAACUUAUAUUCACAUGGAAAUCAUUUGUAUUAGAUCUUAUACACGUAGGAACGAUGGUUAGAAUUCUAGCCCAAAAAUGUAGGGUGUUACAUUAUCUCCCACUUGGAAUCAUCCAUCCUCGAAUGAUGGACAAGAACUUAUUGAGACUUUAGAAGUAUGCAAUAAUUUAGACAUGACAUGUCUGAAGAGAAGGAUAUAGGUGACUUGAAACAUUAAAACUUCCAUUAUGAAGCUGAUUUUCUGAGGUAACUUGACUCUAUUGACUUAUAAGGGACUGAUUCAUGCUGAGAGAUUAGAACUUACUUGAAAUGCUCAUAAUAUGAUCUUACCUAUAGAAUUGCAUAGUGAUAACUGAUGCAACAAUAUUUCAAGAGUUACUAAGGAUGGAAUAACAUUCUUAACUUCUCAUUAGUAAUUGUUCUUCAACGAAACAUGUAUAGGAAUCAAAAGAAGAGGGCUUCAUGGCAUUGCCAAGUACAUUAGGUAAGCACGAAACAUGAGAUAAUGAUACUAAGAUCGUACAAUGGGUAUUACACUAUCUGAGUUGGAAUACUUGGAAAACUAAGCUCAUUCACUAAAUACUUAUGAACUGAAUCAUGACUAAAUAUCUGAAUUGUAGAUAUGAUACAUAGAUUGAACUGAAUUACCUCAUAAAAUAGACAUACUAAUGAAACUUCGGAUAGUGAGACUAGAUGGAAAUAUGGAAAACCAUUGAAACUUGCCUGUCUGACUGCUAAACUAAAUUUCUGGUUGUACGAACUAAAUCAUACUGAGAGCUCAUACUCAAUUAGAACAUUUCUUCAACACUCAUCACCUUUAGGGAAUAAGAAAUCUUGAGCAUGAUCUGAAUACGAUAGCUGGAUAAGGAACCGAAACAUGGAUACAACUUUAUGACAUGGAAUAAAGGACUAUAGAACAUAAGCUAGGAUGAAAUUACUAAGCCUCGAGCAAUGCAAAUUCUUACUUUCAAGCUUAGCAACACUUCUCAAAUACUCCAUCAACUAUACUAUUUUCCUUAAAUACCAUACUCAUUUGAUUCAACUUAUAAUUCUCACAUAGGCAUUGAUAAAUCCAUCUACUAAAGUCUAAACUGAACUAAAAUUCUCUCACUAUGAUCAAGCCUAACUCGAAAUCAAAAGGUACAAAACGCCGCACCAUAAUACUAGUCUAAAUCACAUGAUUCAAUCUUCUAUGUCUCUUUUAGAGCUCACACCCUAAGCAUAACGUGUCUUACAACUUCAAUGACUAACUCGAAACUCUUACUAUGGAUUCACUAGCAUAUAUUGCAUUCAUCUACUUAUAUCCUAACAUGACAUUCAAGCCUAUCAAUAUAACCACAUACAAACUUCAAGGCAAACACUCAUAGAGACAUACUUCUCAUAUUCUCUAAACCUCUAUCAAUAACAACUUUCUUGCGCUAUUCUUAAAAUCACAUACCCAAAAUUAUAAACUAACUAUGACAUAUACCAAAGAUUUACCUUAAUAUUCCUUCAUUCUUUAGCCUUAGAUAGAAAAAACAUAAAUAAUUUUUCUUAAUGAGGGUCAUCAACUCUCUCUCAUCUGAACCAUUGCUUAUCUAUUAUCAUCACCACUAUCUUAACAUAAUAAGAGGUCACUGAAGGGCCAACACAUAAGAACCUUAAGCACAAAAGAAUACUAUAAAGAACUUUGACAUUUAACUGAGGCCUAAGGAAUAGAAUGUCAAAGGCAUGAAUUCAUUAAAGAGAUCUAAACUGAGGACAUACAUGAUAUAUUAUGAAUUUCACUAGUAUCAUGAGUUUUAUGAACUGAUCAUACUCUGAAACAUGAGUUCAUACUUAUCAUAAGCUAUUCAACAUAAGAGUGGAGUUCAUAGAUUAUGAGGGAUGGCUCGAAUUACAGAGUAAAACUGUUACUUAUUUACUAGAAGUUGAGAAAGGACUUGAAUACGCAUGAAGUGUAUAAGUAUUGGCCUUUGGCAUGGAUAUAUCAUGCAAGACAUGAAUUUGGUGUAAUAAUGACUGAAAUACAAGGAACACCGUAGAGUAAGAAGGGAUCACUAUCUCAUCAUAACUCUUAUUGCUAUGUAUCACAAUCUAAUUCUCAAAACUUGAUUCGGUGCUUCACUCUGCAUCUUCCCCUUAGAUCAAAGCUGAUAUUCUAAACUUAUGGGUCUACUCCAUACCUUUGAGACUGAGCCAUAAUUUCUUUGCUCUAACGGUCUACACAUGAAUGCUCACUCACCUUACUAACUUCAUUCUUGGACACUAUCUUAAUACAUACAACCCUUAACACCUUUUAGUUUCAAUAAUCACCAUCAUAGACUUAUACUUUAUUAACUCUUCAAACAUACCAGCCUCACUAAACACAUAAUCUAUCUCACUAACUUGAAUCACACCAAAAGGUUGAGCAUUCUCUAUCCCUAGCUCCUUAACAUAGCCAUCAAGAAUACCAUAUACUAUAUGACUAUCUUUCUUCCACUUAGAAACUCAAUGGUACUACUAACCACACAUAACACUUAAUAACCUUAGAAAAUAAUACAACCCAUUACUCUUUGGGCACACCUCCACAUUAUACUUAUAAAAUCAUACUUAAUUACAAAUAAAUAAACUUAAACUCUUGCAUACACUAUUUAAGCCUACUGGAUCACUUUUAUAUAACUAGCAUCACUAACUAAGUAAUCAUUAUUUCUACCUUGAUGAUCAUCUACUAUUCAAACUUAAUGUCUGGGUCUAGGCAUGACUAACAACACAACCUCACAUACUAUUCUCGCUCGAAAGCUAUAAAAUAAAUGUCAAGAAAAACUAGUCCACUAGAAUCUCAUAAUAACAAUAAUUGAUCAUAAUCUUAUAGUCCAUGUAAUUGCAGUCCAUAAGCACAUCCCUCUUCCACACAUCUCUAGCACUUAUCUAUCCAUAUAUCUAAAUUAUACCCCUAUCAUUACAAACCUCAACCAAUUUCUUUUUCACAACCACGCAGGGAAUCCUACAUUAACAAUUCUUAAUAACUUAAUACCUUGAUUAAUGACCUGUACUUUCUAACACCAUAACAUGCCAUCAAGAUCUCCUUUCCUACUUCAAGCAGACCACAAUUCACCUUAACUAAAAGCUCUUUAUCUACCUUCUACCAAGGAACUUAUACCACAUUCAUUAUCUCUAAACUACAAUACAAGGACAUAUCACCUUAAAACAAACUCAAUAACAUGUAUCAGUUCGUCUAUGUACUUCCAAUCAAUCGCCAUUCCCACCUUUAUUGCCACUACAUUUCUAAACCCACACUUUCAACUAUAAAAAUGUUCUACUAUGUUCUACUACUUAUAAAUCAUAACACUCUAGGUUGCGAUAUCCCUCAAAUUCAAACUCUAUUUAAAAAUCUAGGUUCACACUAUCUCCUCUCAUGAGCACUAUCUGUAUAGAAGGGUUAAUGAUAAAUCUGAAUACAUAUCUUAUUUUGUCUUAAUUGAACAACUUAUAAAGAUGAGAACAUAACUUUCAACCUGAGGAACUUAUAUCACUCUAGCGAGCUUCUCUCAAGCCCCUGUAUGACUUCUGAAGUUGCUGAUAGUAAAUCCGAGGGCAUCAUUUUGGGAGGAAUUAGAACUUACUAAUCAUGUUAUCUCAAGAAUAAGUCAUAGAUGAAGGGUUAGGGAGUAACACACGAAUCGACAUAAGUUUCUGCGAGAAUAACUUUACAACACGAUCUAGAGCAUGAAGAAUAAAAACAUUUCUUAAAUGUCCUGUAGCCUCUCGAACAAAAAGUACAAACGUGUCCUUACCAUUCCACAAAGCUCUACUAGACACGGCUUCACAGACACCCUAGGACACUUAAAAUAUGGGCUUUGAUACUAAGUUUGUCACGCCCCGAGACUACCCCUGGGCGUCACACGAGCUUAGAACCACAAAUGAUCCCAAGCUAACCCUUAUACUGGCAUAAUUUAUGAGGGACUGAAUAAAAUACAUAAAUUUGAAAGAAAUAUAUGGAAGAUGAAUCUUUUUUGAAUAUAAUCAAUAAAAAACUAUAUUAAAAUGAUUAUAACUCUGAUUAUACAAAACAAGACUAGAGUCAAAUACAUCAACUCUAUUGACUGUCUAUGAAGCCUUUACUAGUAUUGACUAUAGGUAGUCCAGACAUGACCCCCAACUAUCCCUAAUCAGACUGAAUAAAGAAUAUAAAAUGCUACUCGAACUAUGACUGACUCAAGCCCUUGGAUCAAAAGGACUCACCAUUUUCUGACUGGAAGCUGCAAACUGUCUGAUUAUGAUAUGCGCGCUACAACUUGUACCUACAUUAUUAAACAAUGUAGCACAUAGACGUAUAAAUGGAUCAGUAAUUUUGGAAUGUAUUGAGCAUGUGGGGGUGAAUGAAUAAGUGAAAACAAUAACUCAAUGUUCAUAUAAACUUGUAAAGAAUGCAUGUUAAGUGUAAAUGACUCACCUUGGCUAAAAUAAAACAUGUACUGCAAAAUAAUAAAUCAUGAGUAUGUAAAGCAUAAAUAAUAUUUGUGAGUCAUAAUACUUAGUUCUAAAAGUUGUACUUUUACUCUUUUUAUUGAGAAUUUCUUUUAACCAACAUAAACCAUGUGAGCUCUCAUGGAGUCCAACAUCUUACCCAUAUUAGGGAGAGUUGUUCUACCCUUGCCAUAGAAAUAGAACUUUUUAUCUUAAGUGAUCACUGUCUUAGCCCACUAUGAGCACUUAAACCUACGGUGGCUCGUAGUUCUGGGGAAUGAGACCUUGGAAUCAUACCCAACUCGGUGCUAAAUACUACUCCCAUUCUUAUCACUUAGACUUUAGGAAAUCUAUCUUAAAAUAGCAUAGGGGAUUAUAAAUGAAAACCAAUUAUGCUUCUCUUCCUUUAAAUCAUUAUCAAGAUGAAUAACUGUGGAUUCUAAUCUUAGCUUAAGAUAAAAAGAUCAAUUCUUUCUUAAAAUCUGAAUACAUACUUAUUAAAGAAUGCUUAAACAUCAUCUUUCUUGAAAUAUCAAGACUUAACCUAAGGGUUUAUAACCCAUACUUUAAAAUCAUAUCAAAUCACAACAAACUUCAUGCUAAACAUUAAAAUUUUUGAAAUAAUUUAACAAUUCUAGUCAAGAUAAUGAAAUUCAAUUCUCAAUAUGUAAAUUCAAGUCACACGCAUAAACCUGUGAAAGUAGAUAUGAAAUUCAACACUUAAAUCACUUGUAACUUCAUAAACUUCAAAUAAUGAUAAUUGGGUAUGAACCCUAAAUUGAAAUUCAUGUAAAUUCAACUUUAAAACUAGUUUUAGGUAUAAGGAUGAAAGGAGUAUUUUUGUUCAUAACCCCACAUACCUUCCUUAAAAGAAUCCUUGAAGAGAACUUUGAAUUUGGAACUUAACUUCCUGAUUCCUGGGAGAUGACACUUGGAUUUUUGUUCUUGGGAAUGGACGAUGGCUUUUUGAGAGCAAUUUGGAGUGAAAGGGGCAAAUAAUACCCUUUUAGGAGUUCCAAUUCGUGUUUUGGAUGACUUGGGUUGGGGAAAAAGGACCCAACUGCCCUUGGCCUUUUUUUCUGUGUAAAUGACCCUCGUGGCGCGACCUUCAGAAAAGUGAAGUACACCUCAUGAUGCAACCUCCAAAAAGGUGGAUUAGACCUCGCGAUGCGAGGCUAUCGUGACAGCUUACUGUUUCUCACAAAAAAGGUCAUAACUUUUUGCUCGGUUAUCGGAUUAAGGCAAAAUUGGUAUCGUUGAAAAGUUGACUCUAUUAUCUAUAAUUUGAUGAGUCUUGAGAUGAAAAAUUCUACUUAUAUAAAAAAUUAUACAUGUUUAAAGUAGACACUUUUAGAAUCAAAUAUCAAACUUUGAACGGAUCUAAGGCUCUUAGCUUGUAAUACCCCGAGAAUCCCAGCCAAUAUUGGAACCAUGCUUCAAGAUCAUGAGAAAUAAAUUUUAGUGCUUUAGCAGUUUUAUUAGUGAUUUUAAUGUAUAUUAAGGCAUCAAGUAUCUCCUAGCUAUUAGAUGAAUCAAAAUAUUCGUUAUCGAUUGAAUUCUUGAGAAGGAUGUUCUUAUAGUCAACAUUAAGCAAAUAUAGAUUUUGUUUUACUAAGAAAUUUUGAGCUCAUGACCCAUCGAUAGAUAGAUAAUUGAAUUAGCUUUCCAACUAUACCAAUUUUGCUUUAAUCUGAUACCCGGAUGAGAAGUUUUGACAUUUUUAGUGAAAGCAGUAGUUCACCGAAGCUCCGCAUCGCAGUGACCUCCAAAAUCACAUUCGUCCCCUUUCCAGUAACUCAACGUGAUAGGACUGUGUCACAUUAGGAAUCGCAGUGGGGCAGGUACCGCAUUACGAAGAAGUGAAAUUUUGCGCUCGUCCUUUUUCUAGUUAGGCGACGCGGUGAUGGGCAAAAUGGGGCUCGUCCCUUUCUAGUGACAAAACAUGAUAGCACCGUAUUGCGCCAAAGUGGAAAAUCAAGAUUGUCCAUUUUUCGGUGGCUUGAUGAGAUUGCACCGCGUCGUGCCGUUAUGCAAAAUCGAGAUUUUUCAGUUUCCAGUUUCGAGUUUAAUUACCAAGGGAAUUUAAGUCCUUUUUCCUUCAUUAUAUUCAACCAAAAACGGUAUUUAGUCAUUAGUCCAAACAUUAUAAUCCAUGUUUUCAUAAUUUCUCUUCAAAAUAAACCCUAGCCACCACCCAAAUUCAUCAAGUUCAACCAUUAAUUCCUCAAGAAAGCUUAAGGACUCAAGCUUCUCUACCCAAGAACAAUCAAGAACUACAAUUCUUUUGCAAGAUUAAAACCCUAAGGUAUGUUAGAUGUUUAUCUCUGGUCCCUUUUCACCCAUGGAGUCCAAGAAUCCAUUUUUUAUAUUUUAAAUUAUGAAAUUACAUGUUUAUAAUGAUUUCUCUCCAUGAAGCUUUUAUGGAUUUUGAUUAUACAUGAUGUUUACAAUAUAUUUUCAUUGAAAGCAACCCUUAUUACAUAUUUUUAUGAAUUUUGUCCAUGAACUUACAUGAAUUUCAAAUUUUAAUCAUGUUUUCAUGAAAUUGUUGGUGAUAUUAAACCUUACAUGUUUGAAUGGUGUUGUUUGUUAAAUUUAAACCCUAAUUGGUGACCUUAGAAGUGAAAUCAUGAGAUUACUACAAGUUUUAAAACUAUUCUCAUGUUUAGUUUAAACCAUGAAUUUCAAGUGUUUGAUGAAAUGCCUAAAUGAUUAGGUUUUGAACAAUGACUAUUUAUUACAAGUUUACAAGUUAAGAUUAUGAAUUGUCUCAUGUGGAAUGCAUUAUAGUAUGUUUUAAAUAUUGUGGUUUCCAUAUCAUGUUCAUGAGAAUUUGGAAUAAAUCCUCUGUUUAUGACUUUGUUAUGUGAUCGUGCUAUCUUAUUAUGUCUAGCAGUAUCCCCAUGUUAAAGUAUUGGUCCCCAUAUAUUUGAUGAAAUGCUUAAGUGAAUAAUUGUGAACAAUGACUUCCUUUCAUGGUUUUAAAACUUUCAUGUGACCCUGUUGUUAUUGUUAUCGAGUCUUGGGGGUUAUGAAUAUCUAAAAUUUUGCUGUUUACUUAGUCUUAGUAGUUUCAGAAUAAUUUCAGACACGUAUGAGCA
rnacentral:lncRNA from 1 species